CCUAAUAGCUCAGUUGGUAAAGAAUCCACCUGCAAUGUGGGAAACCUGGGUUCGAUCCCUGGGUUAGGA
rnacentral:tRNA from 1 species